UUGCUUCAGCAGCAAAUAUACUAAAAUUGGAAUGAUACAGAAUUGGAAGAUUAGCAUGACCCCUGCACAAUGAUGAUAUGCAAAUUCUUGAACCAUUCCGUAUUUUU